GACGAACGCUGGCGGCGUGCUUAACACAUGCAAGUCGAACGGAAAGGCCCUGCUUUUGUGGGGUGCUCGAGUGGCGAACGGGUGAGUAACACGUGAGUAACCUGCCCUUGACUUUGGGAUAACUUCAGGAAACUGGGGCUAAUACCGGAUAGGAGCUCCUGCUGCAUGGUGGGGGUUGGAAAGUUUCGGCGGUUGGGGAUGGACUCGCGGCUUAUCAGCUUGUUGGUGGGGUAGUGGCUUACCAAGGCUUUGACGGGUAGCCGGCCUGAGAGGGUGACCGGCGACAUUGGGACUGAGAGACGGACCAGAAGCCAACGGGAGGCAGCAGUGGGGAAUAUUGCAGAGUGGGCGGAAGCCUGAUGCGGCAACGCCGCGUGCGGGAUGACGGCCUUCGGGUUGUAAACCGCUGUCGCCUGUGACGAAGCGUGAGUGACGGUAAUGGGUAAAGAAGCACCGGCUAACUACGUG
rnacentral:rRNA from 1 species